rnacentral:lncRNA from 1 species
CGCCCCACACCAGAUGUCUAAAUAUUCUCCACGCCCCACUUAUUUUCCAUCAUGAAAAAUCAGAUCUCUCACAGUGAGAAAAGCCUUCCUUUUGUUGCACAAAAGAGAGCUCUUUUAAGGUAUGGCAUGGAGGUAGUUGGGAUGAGAUCCAACUUCAUCUUGAUAAGGAAUUCCAUUCAAAUCAAAUUUGAACUUUCAUUUUAAAAUAGAUUUUAUCCAUGUUUGUGCAUG